UCAUCCUCCCGUGCCGUUUGCCUCGCGCCACCGCGCCCUUCACCGCCACCUCGUGCCGCCGGAGCCACGGGAAGCGGCCGCGGGUCGCCGGGAGCCUCCUCAGCCGCGGGAGCCCGCCCCGCCGCGGCUUCACCGCCUCCUCGCGCCGCCGGAGCCACGGGAAGCGGCCACGGGUCGCUAGGAGCCCGCCCCCGCCGCGGGUCGCCUGGAGCCGCUGGCCGCCGGAGCCGCGCCCUUGGUCGCGGGCCGCCGUUCCUCCCGCUCCUUUCGCCGCGCCACAGUCCGCCCCGUUGCUCCGGUCCUCUUCUGCUUCCCAGCGGCCAAGUGCGAGCGUAGAAGCAAGCAAUGUUUGCGUGUUUCAACCAAAGGGAUUGAGCAGCUUCACCAGUAAGACGUAUAAAUGCCCCAAUAGAGGUGAAUUUUCUGAGUAAUACGGUCCUUCUAUCAGAGGUAUAAUUUUGUUCUGUGGUUGGCGAUGUGCUAUCCACGGUAUGAUAAUGGUUCUAGAAGCAUUUCUUGCUCCAGGAUCUGAAUUGUGGAUGUUUAAUGAGGUGGCAGAGAAGAAGAGGGAGAAAAACUGACUGAUGAUAGUAUGCAUAUUUUUGGACUAACAAACAUUAAAUUGUACACAAAGAAGGGAAUGUUGUCAUCAGGCGGCACUUAGAAAGCUUGCCUCUUGAAAACAUAACUCAUGAUCAUCUGAUAAUGCCCUCAACUAUGGUGAUAAGCGAAUUAGAAAAUGCAAAUCCAUCUCAGCCAUCAUUGCUACUAGGCUCCUAAGCCAUUGACCAUCUCCUUUGCUUCUCUAUCAAUUGGUUUAUGGUGCUGCUGAGGAGCUUUCAUGAUUCUGUGAUAUUCUUCGCAAGUAGAUCAGAUGGGCAAGCACAAUCCAGGUGCACAUACAUUCAUGUGAGGAAUCAUUCUCCGUUUACGGACCUAACCAACACAUCUACUAUUGGGAAUGAAAAUCAGGACCCGCAACAAAAUAGCAGUCAGUCUGCGUAUGCCCAAAUAUCUGUUGAGAAAGAAUCAGCAUCCCUGCACUGGCGUCGUGUAAACCUCCAACAGAAGAUUCCUUCAGCUGGGGAGAUAGUGUUACCCAUGAUCCGGUGGCACGCACACAUGCUUCUUCACUAGGGUCUGUGCAAUAUACUGCUUUUAGCAACAUAACCAACACACAUAC